AAUCUGCAGUACAGCAAGCAUUCGGCGCAUGAGAUGUAGGCCUGUCUCCCGUAUCCUUGUGGCAUCUUCAGGGUUCACUGCAGAGAGAAAAGAGUAUAUUUUAAGAAAAGCACACUCACUGGAAUGAAUAAGCUCUCAUUCCAUUAAGGGGAUACUUGUGGUCUGGAUUAGUAAGCACACAAAACUCACUUCACCUACAAAAGGUUAUGACCAUCUGGUCCCUGUUUAGUUGCUCAAACAUUCAGAACUGUGGGUCUCCAUGAAGAUUUCCAUUUACUUUCCAUCAACUCCUAAAAGGUUUACAAUUAUCUGAGGCACAGAUUCCUCCAUGCAUUUGCUGAGCCUUAGCUGUACUUCUGCCCAAUCAUGCUCUCUUCCAUGGAAACAUAAUUCAGUGUUCUGGCACCAUUGAUCAGUAGAAUCCACCAUUAAAACAGUUUGGAAAGUGGGAGUUUCAAAACUUGCUUCCUGUUCAGUUACCUGUCUCAGGAGACACUGAAGUUCCUUCUUAGCGCGGGCUUUAUUACUGUCAGUUGUACUCUUCAAGGACAGAAAGUUAAAAGGAAGUACACCUAUGUUCAUACUUUUAUGAACAAAGAGAUCUGCCUGUUGUCAGAACAAUGUGCAAUUUAGCUCAGUAUUGUCAACACUUCUCACGAUUUCAGACACGAUUCCUUCCUACUCCUAUAAAGAGUUGUCAGGAAUAGGACCUGGGAUCUUUUGCACACAAAUUAAGUGUUCUGCUAUAGAGCUACAGCCCCUCUUGUGAGUUUUGAGGAUGGAAGUGUAAGAGUAUGUGGAUGGCUGGCAGUGGUAAAGAUGCAAACUGAUGUGUGAUAUUGGUGGAGGAAUCAUGUCACCCAGCUACAUUCUGUCUAGAUGAGGACAAUGAGGAGGCAGCAGAAACCUACAUGCUUGUCCUAAGCACUUAUCUGAAGACUCGAAUUGUGCAGCUCAUUCAUCCAGUUGUGGGCAUCUUGCAACAUCAACACACUAAGGAAUGGCUAGAAGUGCUGGUCUUCAAGCACAAGUGCUCCUGCCAAAACUGCAGAGAUCUAAGAGCAAACAGCAGGGGUUUGGGCAGCUGCUCCUGCUUCUCAUGUUCACUCUGAAAGGAGGAGAACACAUCCAUCUCACUUCUUUGGAAAUGAGAGUAAAGAUCCAAAGUAAAAAGACUGCACAACCACAUCAAGUAUUCACCUGCAGCACAAAAAGCAUGUGCAUCCAUGAUCAUGCAUCCAUGUUGCAGCACCCUCCCUUGGCCUGGCAUCUUCCAGAUGUUUUGACUUCAACUCCCAUGAACCCGUCAAUAUAGCCAAUGAUUGAAGAUGAUGGGAGGUGUAGUCUGAAACAUCUGGGGAAUACCUUGAGGAAUCAAACAGCUUAUUGCAGCCUGCAAGUCUUUCCUGAUCCUAUAAUCUGCUGGAACUUUUAGCAGCACAUUUUCUGGGUGAUGUAAGUGAAACAUUUUUCAAAGCAUAAUUUUUGCUGUCAUAUUUGCUAUGGCAAAUUUCCUAUGUCUCAAUAUAUGUUCUUUUAAAAAAUUAGCAACAUAAUGAAUAAAAACAAUGUAACCAA